AGUGAACGCUGGCGGUAGGCCUAACACAUGCAAGUCGAACGGCAGCACAGUAAGAGCUUGCUCUUACGGGUGGCGAGUGGCGGGCGGGUGAGGAAUACAUCAGACUCUACUUUUUCGUGGGGGAUCACGUAGGGACACUUACGCUAAUACCGCAUACGACCUACGGGUGAAAGCAGGGGAUCUUCGGACCUUGCGCGAUUGAAUGAGCCGAUGUCGGAUUAGCUAGUUGGCGGGGUAAAGGCACACCAAGGCGACGAUCCGUAGCUGGUCUGAGAGGAUGAUCAGCCACACUGGAACUGAGACACGGUCCAGACUCCUACGGGAGGCAGCAGUGGGGAAUAUUGGACAAUGGGCGCAAGCCUGAUCCAGCCAUACCGCGUGGAUGAAGAAGGCCUUCGGGUUGUAAAGCCCUUUUGUUGGGAAAGAAAAGCAGCAGGUUAAUACCCCUCUGUUCUGACGUUACCCAAAGAAGAAGCACCGGCUAACUUCGUG
rnacentral:rRNA from 1 species